rnacentral:rRNA from 1 species
GACGAACGCUGGCGGCGUGCCUAAUACAUGCAAGUCGAACGCAGUGGGGACGGGUGAGUAACACGUGGGUAACCUCCCAUCAGAGGGGAUAACACUUGGAAACAGGUGCUAAACCGAUACUGAUGGAUGGACCCGCUGUGCAUUAGCUAGUUGGUGAGGUAACGGCUCACCAAGGCCACGAUGCAUACCAGACCUGAUAUGGUGAUCGGCCACACUGGGACUGAGACAUGGCCCAGACUCCUACGGGAGGCAACAGUAGGGAAUCGUCAGCAAUGGACGAAAGUCUGACCGAGCAACGCCGCGUGAGUGAGGAAGGUUUUCGGAUCGUAAAACUCUGUUGUUAGAUAAGCGGUAGCUAACCAGAAAGCCACGGCUAACUACGAGCCAGCAGCCGCGGUAAUUC